GACGAACGCUGGCGGCGUGCCUAAUACAUGCAAGUAGAACGCUGAAGAAAGGAGCUUGCUUCUUUUGGAUGAGUUGCGAACGGGUGAGUAACGCGUAGGUAGCCUGCCUUGUAGCGGGGGAUAACUAUUGGAAACGAUAGCUAAUACCGCAUAACAGCUUUUGACACAUGUUAGAAGCUUGAAAGAUGCAAUUGCAUCACUACGAGAUGGACCUGCGUUGUAUUAGCUAGUUGGUAAGGUAACGGCUUACCAAGGCGACGAUCAGUAGCCGACCUGAGAGGGUGAUCGGCCACAUUGGAACUGAGACACGGUCCAAACUCCUACGGGAGGCAGCAGUGGGGAAUAUUGCACAAUGGGCGAAAGCCUGAUGCAGCGACGCCGCGUGAGCGAUGAAGGCCUUCGGGUCGUAAAGCUCUGUCCUCAAGGAAGAUAAUGACGGUACUUGAGGAGGAAGCCCCGGCUAACUACGUGCCAGCAGCCGCGGUAAUACGUAGGUGGCAAGCGUUGUCCGGAUUUACUGGGCGUAAAGGGAGCGUAGGCGGACCUUUAAGUGAGAUGUGAAAUACCCGAGCUCAACUUGGGUGCUGCAUUUCAAACUGGAGGUCUAGAGUGUCGGAGAGGUAAGCGGAAUUCCUAGUGUAGCGGUGAAAUGCGUAGAGAUUAGAAGAACCCCGGUGGCGAAAGCGGCUUACUGGACGAUAACUGACGCUGAGGCUCGAAAGCGUGGGGAGCAAACAGGACUAGAUACCCUGGUAGUACACGCUGUAACCGAUGAGUACUAGGUGUGGUGGUUGUCAUGACCUCCGUGCCGUCGCAAACGCAUUAAGUAUUCCGCCUGGGGAGUACGGUCGCAAGAUUACAACUCACAGGAAUUGACGGGGGCCCGCACAAGCAGCGGAGCAUGUGGUUUAAUUCGAAGCAACGCGAAGAACCUUACCUAGACUUGACAUCUCCUGAAUUACUCUUAAUCGAGGAAGUCCCUUCGGGGACAGGAAGACAGGUGGUGCAUGGUUGUCGUCAGCUCGUGUCGUGAGAUGUUGGGUUAAGUCCCGCAACGAGCGCAACCCUUAUUGUUAGUUGCUACCAUUAAGUUGAGCACUCUAGCAAGACUGCCGUGGUUAACGCGGAGGAAGGUGGGGAUGACGUCAAAUCAUCAUGCCCCUUAUGUCUAGGGCUACACACGUGCUACAAUGGUGAGUACAAAGAGACGCAAUACCGUGAGGUGGAGCAAAACUCAAAAACUCAUCCCAGUUCGGAUUGUAGGCUGCAACUCGCCUACAUGAAGUUGGAGUUGCUAGUAAUCGCGAAUCAGAAUGUCGCGGUGAAUACGUUCCCGGGCCUUGUACACACCGCCCGUCACACCAUGAGAGCUGGUAACACCCGAAGUCCGUGAGGUAACCGCAAGGAGCCAGCGGCCGAAGGUGGGAUUAGUGAUUGGGGUG
rnacentral:rRNA from 1 species